rnacentral:rRNA from 1 species
AUUGAACGCUGGCGGCAUGCUUUACACAUGCAAGUCGAACGGCAGCACGAAAGAGCUUGCUCUUUUGGUGGCGAGUGGCGAACGGGUGAGUAAUGCAUCGGAACGUACCGAGUAAUGGGGGAUAACUGUCCGAAAGGAUAGCUAAUACCGCAUACGCUUUGAGAAGGAAAGUGGGGGCUCUUCGGACCUCACGUUAUUCGAGCGGCCGAUGUCUGAUUAGCUAGUUGGUGGGGUAAAGGCCUACCAAGGCGACGAUCAGUAGCGGGUCUGAGAGGAUGAUCCGCCACACUGGGACUGAGACACGGCCCAGACUCCUACGGGAGGCAGCAGUGGGGAAUUUUGGACAAUGGGCGCAAGCCUGAUCCAGCCAUGCCGCGUGUCUGAAGAAGGCCUUCGGGUUGUAAAGGACUUAUGUUAGGGAAGAAAAGGAUAGUGUUAAGACCAUUAUCUGCUGACGGUACCUAAAGAAUAAGCACCGGCUAACUACGUG